UUUGAUCCUGGCUCAGGAUGAACGCUGGCGGCGUGCCUAACACAUGCAAGUCGAGCGGACCAAUGCUCAUUUCAGCUUUACUGAUUUGAGCAUUGGUUAGCGGCGGACGGGUGAGUAACGCGUGGGCAACCUGCCCUGUGCAGGGGGAUAACACAGCGAAAGCUGUGCUAAUACCCCAUAAGACUACGCUAUCGCAUGAUAGAGUAGUCAAAGCUUUAGCGGCACAGGAUGGGCCCGCGUCUGAUUAGCUAGUUGGUGGGGUAACGGCCUACCAAGGCGACGAUCAGUAGCCGACCUGAGAGGGUGAUCGGCCACACUGGAACUGAGACACGGUCCAGACUCCUACGGGAGGCAGCAGUGGGGAAUAUUGCACAAUGGGGGAAACCCUGAUGCAGCAACGCCGCGUGAGCGAAGAAGGCCUUCGGGUCGUAAAGCUCUGUCCUAAGGGAAGAAGUAUGACGGUACCUUAGGAGGAAGCCCCGGCUAACUACGUGCCAGCAGCCGCGGUAA
rnacentral:rRNA from 1 species